rnacentral:misc_RNA from 1 species
UCCGGUUUGUCACCGGCAGUCCCGACAGAGUCCCCGACAGCCUUUCGGCCUCGCUGGCAACAGUCGGCAAGGGUUGCGCUCGUUGCGGGACUUAACCCAACAUCUCACGACACGAGCUGACGACAGCCAUGCACCACCUGUAUAGGGCCCUUGCGGACCUGACAUCUCUGCCAGUUUUCCCUAUAUGUCAAACCCAGGUAAGGUUCUUCGCGUUGCAUCGAAUUAAACCACAUGCUCCACCGCUUGUGGGGGCCCCCGUCAAUUUCUUUGAGUUUUAACCUUGCGGCCGUACUCCCCAGGCGGGGUACUUAUCGCGUUAGCUUCGGCACUGAAGGGGUCAAUACCUCCAACACCAAGUACCCAUCGUUUACGGCGUGGACUAC